UGUGUAGGCGGUUUCGCAAGUCGGGUGUGAAAGCCCAGGGCUCAACCUUGGAAGUGCACUCGAAACUGCGUGACUAGAGUACCGGAGAGGUUGGUGGAACUCUCGGUGUAGAGGUGAAAUUCGUAGAUAUCGAGAGGAACACCGGUGGCGAAGGCGGCCAACUGGACGGAUACUGACGCUGAGACACGAAAGCGUGGGGAGCAAACA
rnacentral:rRNA from 1 species